rnacentral:rRNA from 1 species
GUAACGGAGGCGUGCAAUGGUAAAUUCAAUUCGAUUAUAUCGCGAAUUUAGAGCAUAAUAGUAUAUAUUUGCCUGAUUGUAAGAUUGACAAAUCGAACAAGGACGCAAGUCGGUUAUAGUGAUCCGGUGAUUCUUAGUGGAAAGAUCAUCGCUCAACGAAUAAAAGGUACGCCGGGGAUAACAGGCUAAUCACUCCCUAGAGACCCUAUCGACGGAGUGGUUUGGCACCUCGAUGUUGGAUUAUCACAUCCUGGAAUUGUAAGUGAUUCCAAGGGUUUGGCUGUUCGCCAAGUAAGGUGGUACAUGAUCUGAGUUCAGAACGUCGUGAGACAGUUUGGUCCCUAUCUGCCGUGGGUGUUGGAAACUUGAGAGGAUCUGUCCUUAGUACGAGAGGACCGGGAUGGACAUACCUCUGGUGGACCUGUUGUGGCGCCA